AGCAGGGAUACCAAGUACCAACAACACAGACUGUGGAGGUAGGCUAAGCAGCCCCAGAUCCCAACAGGAGUGUGGACCAGAAACAAGCAAAGUGCAUGUGGUAACUGCCAGGGAUGCCUGUGGAGGCUGCUGAGGAAGCACAGUGCUGGACCCUAGGAACACCAGCUGGGGAACAACAUGUAGGCGAAGCUACUGGUCCUGGGAAGAGUGUGGCAGGACCCAUGUGUAGGGCGCCCAGGGCUGGAGAGCGCCUCCUUCCAGUGACUUUGAUGAAGCUCAAGCCUCUGAUGUUUCUGGGUGUCAUUUUCUCCUGAGCUGCUGCCCUGCCACAUACACAAGAUCGAGUCUUCUCUGGUGGCUUAGGCACCUGGUGGUGUUCUCUGGUACUCCCGGAAUUCCUCAGAGCAUCCUCUUUCCUCCAGUCCUCCAGUCCGCCCUUGUCUCCACAAGACUUCCUUUCCUGUCUAAAUAAAUUUGUGCCUCAAUUGACAA